UACAGGGGGUGCAAACGUUGCUCGGAAUUAUUGGGCGUAAAGCGCGCGUAGGCGGCUACCUAAGUCGGAUGUGAAAGCCCCUGGCUUAAACCGGGGAAGUGCACCCGAAACUGGGAUAGCUAGAGUGCAAAAGAGGGUCGCGGAAUUCCCAGUGUAGAGGUGAAAUUCGUAGAUAUUGGGAGGAACACCGGUGGCGAAGGCGGCGACCUGGGUUGACACUGACGCUGAGGCGCGAAAGCGUGGGGAGCAAAAGGG
rnacentral:rRNA from 1 species